CACCGACGCUGUUGCCGAGGCAACAAAGCGAGCCCCAACUUGCGGAGAGACCAAGGCCCUCAGGUCUUGUGGUGCAACGGGUAAAUGUGUCCCAGCUGCUGACCUGGAAGAUCCAGCUUCACCUCUUAGCACAUGACUGGAUGGCCAUGGAAGGUUGGCUCAACGUUCAAUUCUCAACUGUAACUCACAGUACCAGACCAAAAAUAAGAAAAAUAAAAGGAAUAUAGUGAUGGUCUCAACACAACUGCAUAGGAAUACCACCAUCUGCAAGUUCCCAAUCAAGUCACACAGUAUCCUGCUUUAGAACCUUAUUGCCAUUCCUUCACUGCUACUCAAUCAAAAUCCUGAAACUCCCUUUCUAACAACAUUGUGUGUAGCUACACCAAAUGAACUGCAGCAGUUGAAGAAGAUUACUCACCACUGCCUUCUCAAGGACAUUCAAGGAUGAACAAAAAAUGCUGAACUUGCCAACGCUUCUUCAUCUUGUUAUGACCAAGGCUGGAGGAGUGAAUCAUUGCUUUUGUCCUACUCCAAAGUUCACAAAACAAAAAUACUUCUUCCAGUUGCAAAGAUGAUGAAUUCAACAACCUUGUCUAUAAAAGGUUGCAGAUGUCUGCCCUAGAUUGACACUUCUGUUGAAGUUCUGCAGUGUGAAGCUUCUAUUCCUAAAAUGACAUGGGAAAUUAAACUUAAUUUGUCUAUUCAAGUGGAUUUCAAAGAUGAUAUUGCACGAAUAGAAGAAGAAUCGUGAUGUGGCAAUCGUGUAUUGCAAUUCAGUCUAACUCUGCAACCAGGUAGCUAUUUCAUAUCCAAUACUCUCAGCAUUUUGUUAUGAAUGCAGGGUGAUUACACCCUGUUCAGC